GCGGUGAAAUGCGUAGAUAUCAGGAGGAACACCGGUGGCGAAGGCGGGUCUCUGGGCCGAUAUUGACGCUGAGGAGCGAAAGCGUGGGGAGCAAACAGGAUUAGAUACCCUGGUAGUCCUGGCCCUAAACGAUGAAUGCUUGGUGUGGCGGGUAUCGAUCCCUGCCGUGCCGAAGCUAACGCAUUAAGCAUUCCGCCUGGGGAGUACGGUCGCAAGGCUGAAACUCAAAUGAAUUGACGG
rnacentral:rRNA from 1 species